GGUUAACCUUGACAAACAUGUCCAGACAAGUCCUUGGUACAAGAUUAGCAUAAGCAGACAUGGCAGGGGAAGACUCAGGUAUAAGAUUAGCAUAGACAAAUAUGUCUUAAGUACCCACCACCCAAAAGUACAAUAGAACUUCCUUUGCAUGUCUGGAGCCUGAGGCAAGUCAGGUGAUGAGAUUUGGCUUCCCUUGGCUAACAAUGAGCCCAGCAAUUGUCACCUCUGGAAACUUCCUGGAGUCCCUUUUCAAGGGGAAAAUAGCUUUGGAAUGGAGGAAACUGGCAAAGGAGAUGAUUUUAUAUUAUUUUUAAAGCUAGGUAACUUCCCUAAGCUGUCAAGUUGAAAGGAUACAUUCCGGCAUAAUAUUUGUGACAUUUAACUUUAAAGAUGUGCCCACCCCCCGUAAUUUCUGUAGCAGCAGCCAUGGCAUUCCAACUCACAAAGAACCCUGAGAACUAGAGACUGUUAAGGGUUCUGGGAACAGCAGCUCUCAGCAUAAUUUGGGGGGAAAGCGUGGCUGUUAAAGUGACACAAAUGUCCUUUAAAUGUAAUUGUGAGGAAGCGACAGCUCUCACUCCAGAUUUCUUGCCCUAGAUGAUCACAGAGGUCCUUUUCAACUCUGAUAUCUAUGAUUUCUCAACCUGGAACAAAACAAAGAACUCAAACCUUGCUGUUGGUAUCUGUCUGGUAUCUCAAGAGACAAUGGAGUAUGCCUCUGGGCGUGAAGUCAAAUCACUGGGUUUUCAGCAUGGAAGUGACUUCCCUGGGGAGCAAACAGGGGCGAAGAAAGGAGAACCAGCACCUGAUGCGAGGAGAUGGGGCAAACCGCCGGUGGCGCAUGUGCGUGCACCGUACAUACUGCGCAUGCAUGGCACCGCUAUGUAGAGAGCAUGCAUGCGUGCUGCUAUGUACGGCACAUGUGUGUAUAAUGUAUGUAGGGUGCAUGUGCAGCGCCAUAUGUAGCGCUGCCGCGCAUGUGGCACCUGGUGGUUUGCCAAUGGCGCCGCUCAAGCACCAUACAGAUGAUGGCAGAGGGUGCAACCACAGGCAGAGGAUCCUCCGCAAGCGGCUGUGGCAGGCCGAUGGCAGUGGAGUGAGCCCCCCGCAGGGUGCCUUCUUGUCACCCCCCAUCAGAGAUGGCACCCGGGUCAGACUACCCCACCGUCCCCCCUUCCUCCACCAUUGGGUGCAAGCCUGGGCUGUGUGCAUGGAGGUCCUGGGUUGCCCGGGCCAUUACCCUUCAAACACCCUCUUUCUUUGCCUUCCUGAUGUGGUCCAAAGGAAAGCAGAGCAAUAUAUUUGGCACCAGCUUCGCAUCCAAACCCUACUGUUUGGGUGUUCCAGCUAGUCUGGUGACUGGGAGCGGCCGCCAAGACCACAUAACACCGGUCUUGAAAGACCUACAUUGGCUCCCAGUACGUUUCCGAGCACAAUUCAAAGUGUUGGUGCUGACCUUUAAAGCCCUAAACGGCCUCGGUCCAGUAUACCUGAAGGAGCAUCUCCACCCCCAUCAUUCUACCCGGACACUGAGGUCCAGCACCAAGGGCCUUCUGGCGGUUCCCUCACUGUGAGAAGCCAAGUUACAGGGAACCAGGCAGAGGGCCUUCUCGGUAGUGGCGCCCCCCCUGUGGAACGCCCUCCCACCAGAUGUCAAAGAGAACAACUACCACCAGACUUUUAGAAGACAUCUGAAGGCAGCCCUGUUUAGGGAAGCUUUAAAUGUUCGAUGUAUUACAGUAUUUUAAUUUUUUGGGGGGAAGCCGCCCAGAGUGGCUGGGGAAGCCCAUCCAGAUGGGCAGGGUUUAAAUAAUAAAUUAUUAUUAAUAAUAAUAAUAUUAUUAUUAUGUUGUGAAUAUGUAACCAUUUGGCCAGGACAGCAGGAUUCUCUCUUCCUCCUCCUCCUCCUUUAGGUAUUUGUACCCCUCCCCACUCCUAAAACCUUGCUCAGAGGCCCAGUCCGCAUUUAUUUCCAAACCCCCAAAGAUGGGGGGGAGCACUUAAACUGAAAAUAUGCUUUACUUUGUGGCCUAAUUCACUCCUUUCCUGUUACUUCUCCUUUUCCCCCCUGUCUCUUAAGUGCAUUUGAAAAGCUAGGGGGGGAAUUAAACUCAAAAUAAGUUUCCCUUUGCUUUAAUUCGUGCUUUAGAAUUCUCUUUAGUUACCUUGCUUUUUUAACUUCAUUUCUCUUCCUCAUCUGUACAUUUUAGGAGGGCUGGUAGAGGAAAACACUUUUAACAAGUGAUGCUUUGGGGCAAAAUUUGUAUUCAUUUGCUUCCCAUCUUUAGGCACUGUGUUUCCAUCACUUGUAAAUCAUAGAAAGCGACUUCUGGUAAAUAAAAACCAUGAGACAUGCACAUUAGUGCCUUCAUUUAAGACAGAGCAGCUCAUCAGAAAAAAACCCCUUACUGGAUGAUCUGCAGGUAUUUGAAAUGGAAAAGAGGGGAAUGUCACAUUUAGGGAACCCAUAGGGAGAAUUUGCCUGAAUAGUCUUAUGUUAGCAUUCAUUGUCAAAAGCACAGAAGGGAGCUUGAACCAAUAAGCACUCUGCUUAUUGGUUUAUUGUCAGUUGCAGUGCUUAUGUUGCAUUUCAGUGGAAGCUAUUUCCAAACAGAUGGGGGAGAAAUUGGGCUCCGUUCUAACUUAAAGGCAAUCCUACUUUCUGAAACAAUACGAGAACUGAAGCACCGUUAUCCUUCAAAGUUCACACUUCUCAGAGCCUUCCACCAUGAGGCGCGGCUGCCAGCCUGACCCACACAGUGGCUUUGUCCUAUGAGUUAAGGGAUAAGGGGUGAUAGGAUGUCAUGGAAUUCUACUCAACGUUGAUCCGGAGCAGAACUCCAAUAUAUAGUUAGCAGAGUAAAAUCACAUUGCAGGAUUCCCAAUGAACAGACCAGAGGCAAUUAAUAUUUCAUCCAGCAGAGCUUUACUGCUACUGAAGGCAAAUGAGCAUAAUGGUCACAAAUCCAAUACAUUCAGGAUUGGCACUGUCCAUAAGAAAUCCAGUUGCAGCAGACUGAACUUAAACUUACAAUAACUUAUAAUAAGUCUAAACUUAAACACUAAGCAUACUAUGUACAGAACACCACACCAGAAGGAAAAGAGAUAGAAAGAGAAAGUGAAACCCAGGCCCCUUCUGGCCUAUAUUUAUAAUCAGCAUGACCUUGACAGAAAAAGAUAAGAGAACCAGUUUAAGCCAGCUGUAUUCAGCUUCUCGGAAGGAAUAACCCAAACAUCAUGAACCUUCUGUUUGUUUGUUUCACACACAGAAGCUUCCAGAACCCUCUUGAAUUAAGUAGGAUGGGAAAGAUCUCUACACAUCAAAUCAAUACUUUCUGCACAAAGAAAUGCAAACUGACAGGUAAGGGGUAAAGGAAUCAGACCUGUGGGUGGAAUUUGGCCUACUCGAAUAGGCAGAAACUGAACAUCAAGCAGGAACGUCAGUGUUCAGAUGGGUUCCAUUCCGAUUCCAUUUGGGGCUGAACAGUCUUCUGCCUCCCUAUCCCUCCUCACAAAUCUGAUUGAGGAGAGUGUUUGACAAAUGGGGCACUGAAUUGAAAAGCCCCCCCCCCCCGGUUGCUCACAGGUGGUGGGUAAACCUGGAGGAGGGCAGUGGUUGACCUUGGGGGUCUCAGAUUUCAGUGGCGCCCCAUGCAAUGCUAAAAUUUUGUGCCCCUCCACCACUCACACUCCAUUGUAAAACAUACUUGCAGCACCCCAGAGGCUCCGUGCCCAGUGCGACUGAACUGGUCAUGCUCCCCUAAAUCAGCCUCUGAGGAGGGACUUUUCUUUGGUGGCCCGCCAUUUGCCCAACACUCUCCCCAACCACAUUUGUGAGUAAGGAUUGGCAUCCUUAAUCUACCCAUCCAAUGCUGUUCUCCUAGCUUUUGAGAGACCAACACGGGCAAUGUGCAUUCAGAACCAUGCUGGGUUUGCAUUGCAUUGGACCAUAGCUGUCAAAGUAGUCCUUUUUUUAAGGGAAAUUCCCUUAUUCCAAAUAGGAUUCCUUGCAAGAAAAGGAGAAAGUUGACAGUUAUGCAUUGGACACAUUCAGCCAUCCGUGGACCUCAGCAGUCAUGGUGAAGGCCUGGCCAGGGCGAAGGCCUCUUAUAUACCUGCUGGGAUUGACAAGGCAUCUGACCCUCACCUGAAUCUCAUAGCUUUCCUGAUGAGUGCUUUGGUCUGCAGCUACAGAUGAGAUAAUAAAGGAUGAGAUUGCCCACCAGAUACCAGGCACUCUACUAUUCAAAUUAAGCCCCAGUGUUUUGGUUAUAAUCCCCUUCUCAAUUAAGUAAUCAGUUUUAAUCUAGAAUUUAAAUUCUCUUUUUUUAAAAAAAAGAUAUUUAUUAGAGUUUAAGAAUUACAAAAAAAAGAAAAGCAAGCAGUGAACAAUUACAAAACCUCAAAAACAAAAGAGAAUACAAUAAAACUAAACAACAACAGUACAUCAAAACAUUAAAAAAGAAAAAACAGAAACAUUUAAAAAAAUUGAAGAAAAAAAAAGAAAAAACAACAAAAAAGACCCCGUAUUUUCAUGUCCUUAUCUUUCAUUUGCUUAUUUCCUCGACUUCCUCACACCUCCUUUUUUGUAUUCUAGUUCAAUUAAUUAUUCCAGCAAGUCCUUUCCCUCUUUCUCAAAUUUAGUUCCAUAAUUUAUCUUAACGCAAUUUAACCUUAAGUUUUGCACCUUUGCCCAUUGUCAAUCUAUUCAUACUUAAUUCUUUAUAACAUUUCUGCUAAAGUCAUAUAACUUCUUUCCAGCAUCCUUCUAACAUUCAUUAAUUUUACAAUAUUUCUGUAAAUAUACUUUAAAUUUUUUCCAAUCUUCUUCCACCGACUCUUCUCCCUGGUCUUGGAUUCUGCCAGUCAUUUCCGCCAACUCCAUGUAGUCCAUCAGCUUCAUCUGCCAUUCUUCCCAGGUAGGUAGAUCUUGUGUCUUCCAGUACUUUGCAAUGAGAAUUCUUGCUGCUGUCGUAGCAUACAUAAAAAAAAUUCUAUCCUUCUUUGACACCAAUUGGCCGACCAUGCCCAGGAGAAAGGCCUCUGGUUUCUUCAAGAGGGUAUAUUUAAAUACCUUUUUCAUUUCAUUAUAGAUCGUUUCCCAGAAAGCCUUAAUCUUUGGGCAUGUCCACCAAAGGUGAAAGAAAGUACCUUCAGUUUCCUUACAUUUCCAACAUUUAUUAUCAGGCAAAUGAUAGAUUUUUGCAAGCUUGACGUGUUAUGUACCACCUAUAAAGCAUUUUCAUUAAGUUCUCUUUUAAGGCAUUACAUGCCGUAAACUUCAUACCUGUGGUCCAUAACUGUUCCCAGUCAGCCAUCAUAAUAUUAUGUCCCACAUCUUGUGCCCAUUUAAUCAUAGCAGAUUUCACCGUUUCAUCUUGAGUAUUCCAUUUCAACAGCAGGUUAUACAUUCUUGACAAAUUCUUAACUUUAGAGUCUAACAAUUCUGUUUCCAAUUUUGAUUUUUCCACUUGGAAACCUAUUUUUUUAUCCACAUUAUAUACCUCCAUUAUUUGAUAAUAAUGGAGCCAAUCUCGCACUUUAUUUUUCAAUUUUUCAAAACUCUGCAAUUUUAAUCUGUCUCCCUCUUGUUCCAAAAUUUCACAAUACUUUGGCCAUUUGGCCUCCAUAUUGAGUUUUUUCAGAGCCUUUGCUUCCAUUGGUGACAGCCAUCUUGGGGUUUUGCUUUCUAGCAAAUCCUUAUAUCUUACCCAAACAUUAAACAGUGCUUUUCUAACAAUAUGGUUUUUAAACGAUUUAUGUGCUUUAACCUUGUCAUACCACAAAUAUGCAUGCCAACCAAAUACAUUAUUGAAAUCUUCCAAAUCCAACACAUCCGUAUUUUCAAGAAGCAUCCAUUCUCUCAGCCAACAAAAUGCGGCUGAUUCAUAAUAAAGUUUAAGGUCUGGCAGGACAAAUCCACCUCUCUCUUUAACAUCUGUUAAUAUUUUAAAUUUUAUACGAGGCUUCUUGCCCUGCCAGACAAAUCUAGAGAUAUCUCUCUGCCACUUCUUGAAACAGUCCAUCUUGUCCAAAAUUUGCAAUGUUUGAAACAAAAAUAAUAUUCUUGGCAAUACAUUCAUUUUAAUCACAGCAAUUCGACCUAGCAAUGAUAGCUUCAAAUUUGACCAUAUUUCUAAAUCCUUUUUCACUUCCGUCCAACAUUUUUCAUAGUUAUCCUUAAAUAAAUUCACAUUCUUAGCAGUCAUAUUUACCCCUAAAUAUUUCACUUUCUUAACCAAUGUCAAUCCUGUCUCCUUCUGGAACUUGUCUCUCUCAAUCUCAUUUAGAUUUUUCUCUAAAACUUUAGUUUUCAUCUUGUUGAACUUAAAACCUGCUACCUGACCAAAUUCUUGAAUCAAUUCUAAUACUCUUUUGGUGCUUGAUUCUGGCUCCUGUAAAGUCAAUACCAAAUCAUUGGCAAAUGCUUUCAACUUAUACUGUUUGGUUCCCACCUGGAUACCUUUUACCAAUUGGUCCCUUCUAAUCAUAUUUAAUAAAACCUCCAGGACCGAUUAGAAUUUAAAUUCUCAAAACUUUCUUAUUUGUUAAUUCGAGCAAGUAAACUACUGCUCUCACUUCAUUACAAACAGUACUUCUAUCUGCAACACACUUGAGCAAACCUGCUGUUCCUUUCACAGAUAUUUUGUUGCCAUUUGCAACUGUAUCUGCCUCUGAUUAGUUAUCAUUUACCUCUUUGGGGAAAUAAUUAGCAUCACAUGUCAUGUGCAUGGAAGUUGCCAAACCAAUUAACCAACUAGAAGGAUUACUGUUAAUAGCACCAGUUUUCCUAUAACUUGAUAUUGCUGGAUAGUUCUGAUGAACUGCCAAAGCAUUUUUAGUUUGCUUUCUGUUGUCAGCCUGGAACUUUUCUUUAUUAGUGCCACUUUGUUUUGUACAAUUCCUUGCAAAUGAAGGAAAACAACUUUUCUGCCUGUAUAUGUUGAUAAUAUAAUUUUGGUUACUGAGAACAAACAAGUUUGCACAAAAACAAGAUUGGGCGCAGGCCUGGCCAGGACAUGGGCAUCCUGACUGUGACUGUGACAAAGGUGGCCUGUGUGCUUGCUUGUUUGCUUGCUUGCUUGAUUAACAGGGAACUUCAAGGUCCCUGCUCUCCCUUCUUAUGAUCUUUUUACUGGACCUGGAGACUCCAAUAGAGAGCAUCCAAUGUCAAGAAGGAGGGCAAGUGGACACCCUAUCAAAUGACAGGGCAGGAGCUACACGGAGCAGGGCCUUUUCACUGGUGGUGCCCAUUGUAUGCCUCGCUCUUCCCAGACUUGUUCUCUUUUGGCCUGUAUUUUGGAGCUUUAUAAUUUAGGAAGACUUUGGAAGAACUGGUUGACAAGUUCUUAUCAGUCGCUGACGUAUGAGCGGAUUUUAUUUGCUGCUAUUCUGGGCUUCUGGUGCACCAGGGUUUACACCAGCAUAAUAGAGUUGGCCAGGAUGCCAGAAGGGAUACAAUUUAUGAGCUUUCUCCAUUAUCUGCACAGCAGGGGGUGUCAGUCAACAGUGCAAAGGCUGAGCUGAAGCAUUCCAUGCUGGUUACCUGCUUUAAGCAGUAGUGGUUGCUGUUUGGUAGUACACAAUUGGUUAGCUAUCAGAUUCUACAGCUCCCUAUUGGUGGCUCUUAGGUAAUUCACAAAAUACAGAAUCAACUUAUAAAACACAGUGUUCAUUCAUAAAGCAGUAACAUAAAUCUCCAUUGGGUGUAUAUUGGGUGUAUAUUUCAGCGGUUGAAUGUACAGCUUUAUGGCCAUGCUGUAGUGUAGUGCUUAUGCGACUGUGAAUAAAAGGUGGCUGAGCUCAUUGUCUCAGGGUUGGGGGGGGAGAGGUGACAAAACUGAUUUCCAAUAAGUGCCCCCCCCCUUAUUUCCAUAACAAGUCCUUGAGUCUUUACUUUGAAUAGUGACACCAGGGACCUAGAAGGUGCAGGGCUUGUCAGUCCAACUCCUGCACAGUUUAAUCAGGGCUGACCUUAAGGCAAUUGGAGCAAUUUAGCUAAAUUGGGCCCUGCUUGCUGCUCCUAAGAGGGCUCCUGCACCAGGGCAAUCUAGAUGGAUUUUAUUUAUAUCUCUAAGAUUUUGCAGACUUUGGCUGUGAACUGGGGCCCUACCAAAAAAAAAAAAUUCAAGUUGCACCCCACUGCUUCAAAUUGGGCCCCACUGGCUAGCCCUGAGUCUCAUAGUUGCUGGGCCUGAGUUGCGCUGCCCUUGCAUGAAGUCUUGGGUUUGCAGUUUUGGGAGAGGGGAGACUGAGGCACUGGGGAGAUGGCAGGCUGGUGAUGCCCCCUAGAUUUAGAGGCCCGAGUUGCCAUGCCCUCACAUGAAGUCUUGGGUUUGCAAUUUUGGGAGAGGGGAGACUGCCCGCUGGGGAGUGGGCGGGCUGGUGAGGCCCCCUAGAUUUAGAGGCCCUAGGCUUCAGCCUACUUAGACUAUACAUAAAUCCAGCACUGGCUUCAGUUGACUAUGGAAGCAUGAAAAGGCUUGGGAAACCCAGCUUUAAAUACCACUGCCCCUUGCAUGGCCACUGCUACCUCUGAAGGUUGCAUUAACAGUGCAGUCACACUCUUUCUGCCGCAAACAGCCAGUCAACUCAUCAGAAAAUGGCAAAGCCAAUAUUUCCAUUUACAACACGUGGUACCUUUAAGCCCAUUUCCCUGCCAACUUCCAGAGGUGCUGCCUAUGUUACUUGGUACUCGCAGCCUUCCAGUGAGUGAGUGUGAAAAUAUGACAUCUUGAAGAAAAUGAAAAAUAGCUCUGUAAAGGUUUGCAAUGUUUUCCUCCCUAGGAGAAUAUGCUUCGGAAUACCUCUGCUGUGGUAUGGAUAAAGUUCAGCUCCUUCAUUUUUAUGGGUACCCGAUAAUUGGAAGAAAAAUGACCCCCGAUGAAGACCAAAUGGCCCAACAUUUACAUUCAUAAACCUGAGUGAAUGUCAAUUACAUUAUCAAAUAUUACACAAAACAUUCUUCUGACUCUCCCAGUGUCAUUUGCUGUAUAAAUUGGCCUAUUACAGAGCUGCAGACUCUGAGAUACUAUCAGGGCCCUUCAUUAAGGUGCCAUGACUGAAAUGUGGAAGCUGUCACUGGGCAGAAAAUGAUCGCGCAUGGGCACCAUAAAUCACAAUUUAACCCAUAAUAGCCUUCAGCUGGGGCCCUCGCCGUGUCAUUCGUUUCAUUUCUGAAGACAUUUAGUGCCAUUUAUGCUAAGAAGUUUGCACACUCAGGUUUAUUAGGAUGGACCUAGCAAACAAGGUGGUGAGGAAUCCCCGUUCCCUGUUGACCUCACCAUCCUGAUAAGGAACAAUCAUUCCCAUAAAAUGCUAUCUCCUUUCCCCUUGAAAGUCAACAAAACUGAUUCCCACAAUGCAAAUGAGUUUUUCCUAAUGGAUAUUGCAGCAAGAUGGUGGCUGAGGAGAAAAUCGAUUCUCUCCAUUUGUCAGACUGCUUCUGACUAUUACCUGUGCGCCACAACCUGACAUUUUAUUUUUUUUAACCCACAACAUUUCUCUCAAAUGGGGAUUCAAGUGGCCCACAGGUGACCUGGAAGAAACAGGACAUCCCGUUUUACCUCAUGAGAGAAUGGCAGCCAUUUUGUGUGACAUGAUCUCACGUGACUCCGCACCACAAUUCCUCCCCCCCCAAAAAAGCACUGUGCUCCAAAACACACAUUUUGGGGCACCCCAAAAUCACUUGGGGGAGGGAACUGCUGCACAAAAUUGUGGGACAUCACAGUGUCCAAAAUGGCCACCGUUCUCUCACAAGAGAAAAUAUGGCAUCCAGGAAGCUAGCACCCCAGUUUUUGCUUUCAAGGUGUUGGAGGGUAUGUAUAUCUAGGUGCACCAUUACAGUGGUACCUCGGGUUAAGAAUUUAAUUUGUUCUGGAGGUCCAUUCUUAACCUGAAACUGUUCUUAACCUGAGGUACCACUUUAGCUAAUGGGGCCUCCCGCUGCCGUCACAUGUUUUCUGUUCUCAUCCUGAAGCAAAGUUCUUAACCCAAAGUACUAUUUCUGGGUUAGCAGAGUCUGUAACCUGAAGUAUCUGUAACCCGAGGUACCACUGUAUUACACAAUACCCAAGUGAGUGAACUCUAAGCAUCCAACAAAUAAUACUGUCAUAUGUGCCUACUAUUGUUUGUUGACUUUAGGUGUUGGCUUUAGGUGGCUCCCACUUUAGUGGUUUCGUUGUCUUGACAUAUCUCACUCUUCCCCCCUCUUCUUCUUUGCCAGAUAUCUUUCCUGUUUACUAAGCUGUACAGUAGCACCUACCAUUGCUCCAAAUGGCAGCUUUUGCAGCAUGACAAAUACCUGGUGUGAUGGAUGUAUUGUACAGACUAAGCAGUUUUCAUCUGGUCGCCUCCAAGGGACACCAAGAAAAGUUUGUGGUGGGGUCAUGAAAGGCAUGGCAAGCUGCCAGCGGUCUGAAGCAUCACAGCCAUAUUUCAGCAUCUCUGUGAAGUCUCUAUUGCCUUAUAAGCAACAAGCCCUGGGCUGCAUUUGACCUUCAAAUACCCCUGAGGAAUUUCGCAAGGAAUUCUUGAGGCCCCAGAACUGUUAUCAGGUUUUUUUCUCCAGAGAUUGUUAAAAUGUUGCAAUAAAAUGUUUGUGUGCGUGUGUGUAGAUA